AAGAGCCACAUGCUCCACUGACUGAGUCAGCCAGACCCCCCCCCCAAAAACGUUUUUUUCUUUAGUAACAUAUUUUAAUGAUUCCAAGUUCUUACAGCCAUAAUAUUAGACAUGUAAUACACACUCAAAUAUAUUAUUUAAGAACAGGACAUUCUUCCUAAUGGCUAAACUAAAUUAUUCUUCUAAUAAUUCAAAGUUUUUGCCUCUUGUCCUAUUCUUCAGGUGUUAUGGUAACCCAUGAAAUGUAAGGUUACUUUUUGUUUUAUUUUCUAAAUGAUUUCCUCUUACAUGUCAUUAUAGAGCCCAAUAUUUGAGUACAUAAUUAUUUUUAUUACUUUUCUCUGGGCCCUUUCCAAGUAAUUUAAUCUUCCUUUAAAUGUAGGCCAAAACUAUUAGGUUCAAUAUUCCAGUUAAAAAAACAACUGAUGAUUGUAAAGGUAAAGACAUAUUUUUAUAGUUGAAGUAAUUGUUUUUACUUGAAACUGGGCUUUCACAUCAGACUUCAGAUCUGGCACCAAAUGUCAACUCUUUUGAUUGGUCAAAAAAUGUUUUCAGUUUUUUAAGAAAUUUGAACUGAAAGUAUACUUCUAUUUCCACCAAUUUCCAAAGACAUGAAAUUUUGGAAUGUAAAUUAAAAAUUUCAUAUUUAUGAGGUCCAUUAAUUAGACAUUUUUCUAAUUAUAAAAGUAAUGUGUUUAAUAUAGAAGUCAUACGAAAUAUAGAAGAAAUAUACUUGUAAUGCAUCACCCUAAUAUAACAUUUACCUUUUGGUUUUAAACAAUUUUUAUGUCUUUUGUAAUUUUUAAAACUUACCAGUUACGUGAACAUCUUUCUGUAUACAUAAAUAUCUUGCAACUGUAUUAUUCCUAAUGGCUUCAUAAUAUUUCUUCAUUUGAAUUUAUCAUAAUUUACUGAAUCUAUCCUUUUUUUGAAUGUUUAUUUCCUUCCUUUAUGAAUAUAACAAACAAUACUGAAUUGCUUUGUGCAUACGUCUUUCUUCAUAAUUGAUUAUUAUUUCCUUAGGAUAAAUUCCUAGAAGUGAAAUUGCAAGGUAUGUGUAUUUUUAAAGCUUCUGGCAUACAAUCCAAAAUUGAUUUUCCAAAGCUUUUAUCAGUGUAUUUUUCUAUCAGCAUUCUACUUGAGUGCCUGUUUCCCUCCACCCUUACAAAUUCUGAGAAGAAUCUUCUUAUCUUUGUCAAUCUGAUCAGCAAAAAAUGGUUUAAUUUUCAGAUCAUUGAUUGCUGGUGAGGGUGAACUUGUUAAAGUUUAUUAAUCUUAUAUACAUAUAUCUGAAUUGCCUCUUGAUAUCUAUAGUAGACUGUUGAUGUAUCCUGGAAGUCUGGCUUCCAUCCUGCAUUUUUGUGGUAAUAGCAUAUAAAUACAUUUUUUUUUUUUUGCAGGGUAUGGGAAUGACUGCUCUGUGCAGUUUUGAAGGAUAUAAUAUUCAAGGACCUUGCCUACCCCAGCCAAUUGUCAUCCUAACCUGUGAUUCCAAUUAAAGAUUUUUAAAAAAGAGAAGAGUUCAGCCCUUCAAGUAUUGGUUUGCACUCCUUAAGCCUGAGAUUUCCAGGAUUAACAGAUGUUCACCUUGGCCCCAUCAACUGAGGCCAAGGGAUGGUGCUUGACGAACACGGUUGCCCGGAGCCACUCGAUAGCCAUAGACCAUCUGCAUUCCUCGGCUCAUGUUCCCUGCCACCAUCUUCAAAGCCAGUAAUGGAAAGUUUACUUUUGCAUGAGGAUUUUAUGUUCUGCUUCCAGGAAGAAAAAGGAGGAUCUGAGUGUCUUUCUUGUACCUGCUAUUUCUUAAGUAUAUUUAAUUCAAAAUAAUCAAUAUGUAAAAGUGGGUCACAUAUUCUGGUUUUCUUUAGUACCAAAUGGUUUGCACACCAGUGAAGGGGGUUGUAGAGGAUCUGUGAACUCUUAUCACCCUUGGAACUAUGGAUCACCAGUAUAAGAGAAACAAUGAGGAUACAAAUACCAUUGUAAUUUGCAAAUGGCAUAUAGAUUACAGAUGCAGCUAUGAUUGAAAACCCUGUGGAUAUAGCUACACCAGUUAAGAGCUUGGACUUUGUUGUUGGACAGAACUUUCUACAAUUACACCUCUGGGUCCUAUUGUGUCUCAGCUUGAUUAUUAUUAUUUUUUUAAUUUUUUAGUGUUUAUUUAUUUUUGAGAGAGACAGAGCACAAGUGGGGA